GGGAAUAUAGCUCAGUGUUAGAGCAUGUGCUUUCUUAUGCAAAGCCCUGGGUUCAAUCCCCAGCACAUCCU
rnacentral:tRNA from 1 species